UGCACGGAGACGGCAGUCUUCUUUGCCUUCCUCGCGUCCGUCCACCCCUCCGUAGUGUAUGCUACCAUCACAACUCAGAUCUGGAGCGAGCCAACUUACCACCACCUGCCGGAGACGAGCCGCCGGAGAGAACCUAUCUUCUGUGCCAUCCCAUUUCCACCCCAUCAGUUCAGCUCACCAUCCCUUGCCGCCGGAGAGCCGCCACGCCAUUAAUUAGAUCCACAGCAAUAAUGCAGGUCGCGACAGGGGCGCUGAGCCCCCUCCUCCGGAAGCUCCGCGAGAUGCUCGCGGCAGAGUUCACCCUCAGCAGCCGCGUGAAGAAGGGCGUCCAGUCCCUCGCCACGGAGCUGGAGAUGAUGUACGUCGUCCUCUCCAAGGUCGGCGACGUGCCGCCGGACGAGCUCGACCCGCAGGUCCGGGUCUGGGCGGCCAAGGUCAGGGAGCUCUCCUACAACAUGGAGGACGCCGUGGACGCGUACAUGGUCCGCGUGUACGAUGGUGGUCAAGAUGCACUCGGCCCCAACAACCUCAAGAACAGGGUCAAGAAGUUUGUCAGGCGGACCAAGAAGCUGUUCAGCAAGGGGAAGGCUCUGCAUCAGAUCUCCGGCGCCGUCCAAGACGCCCAGAAGCGCUCUAAGGAGCUAGGUGAGCUCCGUCAGAGGUACGCGCUUGAGGCAUCAGCGGAUGGUGUCGGAAAUGCCAUUGAUCCUCGGCUCAAGGCUGUGUACAGAGAUGUCACAGAGCUUGUAGGUAUCGAGGACACACGGGACGAGCUGAUUGAGAAGCUCCAUGAUGGGGAUGGGAUGUCCAAGAAGCAACUCAAGAUACUGUCUAUUGUUGGAUUUGGCGGAUUGGGGAAGACAACCCUUGCCCAAGCGGUGUAUGAAAAGAUCAGAGCACAGUUCGACUGUGGAGUGUUUGUUUAGGUGUCUCGGAAUCCCGACAUAACAAAGAUCUUCAAGAAGAUGUUGUACGGACUUGACAGUAGUAAGUUUGCGAACAUCAAUGAAGCUGUCAGGGACAACCAACAGCUCAUCGAUGAACUGAGAGCAUUUCUUCUUGACAAGAGGUACUUAAUCGUGAUUGAUGACAUAUGGGGUGAAGACACAUGGGAAAUUAUCAAGUGUGCUUUCCCUAUGAGCGAUCUUGGUAGUCGAGUAAUAACGACAACCCGCAUAACCAGUGUCGCUCAAGCAUGCUGCCCCUCUAGUGGUGAUAUUAUUCAUAAGAUGAAAGCCCUUGAUACCGAUGACUCCAAAAGGCUCUUCUACAAAAGAAUAUUUCCCCAAGGAAGUGAAUGUCCUCUUGAAUUGGAGCGAGUAUCUAGAGAAAUUUUGAAGAAAUGUGGCGGAGCACCACUGGCCAUCAUUACGAUAGCCAGUCUAUUAGCCGGUAAUGACCAACAGAUAAAGACAAAGGAUCGAUGGGACAGCAUACUCAGUUCUAUUGGUCGUGGGCUCGCUGAAGGUGGUACUGCGAAGGAUAUGCAGAGAAUACUAUCCUUUAGUUAUUACGAUUUACCUUCUCAUUUGAAGACUUGUUUAUUAUAUCUCACUAUAUUCCCGGAAGAUUAUGAGAUAAAUAAAGACAGGUUGAUAUGGAGGUGGGUAGCUGAAGGCUUUAUCCAAGGUGGAGAACAAGAAAUCAGACUAUUUGAGCUCGGAGAGAGAUACUUUAGUGAGCUGGUAAACAGAAACUUGAUUCAACCAAUAGUUUUUGAUGUUGAAGGUAGGGCGGGAGCUUGUCACGUGCAUGAUAUGGUACUUGAUCUCAUAUGUUGUCUAUCAAGUGAAGAAAACUUCAUUACUAUAUUGGAUGGUACUAAGCAAAUCAAAAAUAAUUCAGAUAGCAUGGUUCACAGGUUAUCUUUUCAGAAUAACAUGUCAGGGCUCACCACCCAUAGCUUGGAUGCCACAAGUAUGUCGAAGUUGAGGUCAAUUACUCUGUUUAGAACAGAUGUUGAUCUGAUCCAGGCUCUUUCAAGAUUCAAAUUUUUACGCGUAUUGGAUUUAGAAGGUUGUAAUCUCAGCGAAAGCAGUCAUCAGAUCGACCUUAGGUAUGUUGAGAAUUUAUUACACCUGAGGUACCUAGGGCUACGAAAUACACGUGUUAGCGCUUUCCCCAUGGAAAUAGGAAAGCUGCAAUUCUUGCAAACACUGGACUUGAGAACAGUUGGAUCAAUGGAGGUGCCCUCAAGUGUUGUCCGACUAGGACAUCUGAUGUGCCUACAUGUUGGUGGGGGGACGAGAUUGCCAGCUGGGAUAGGGAACUUGGUGACCUUGGAAGAGCUGAAUACAGUGACGAUGGAUGGUACUGAUGCGAUUGAGAAAGAGAUAGGGAAGCUGGCGGAACUGAGGGUGCUUGAACUUUGGUGGGAGGGAGAUGAUGAGAGUGCGUGUAAUUCUUUAUUGCUGUCCUUGUCCAAUCUGAAGAAAUUGCGUAGCCUAAUGAUUUAUUGUGUUGAGGAAGCAAGGUUGGAUGCUACCUGGGACAGCUGGGUGCCUUCUCCGCACCUCCACACCUUUCUCUUUGGUAACUGUACCUCGACAUUGCCAAGAUGGAUGAAUUCAUCGUUGUUUCCUGUCCUCUCCUGCUUGUAUAUAAAAGUGAACAGAGUGAGGCCGGAGGUCGACAUUCAGAUCCUUGGGAAAUUGCCAGCUCUUCGUUCUCUUGAUCUGGCAACCUCUAGAGCCCAAUUAACUCCUGUCGAAAGGUUCAUCAUUGGCGAUGAUGCAUUCCCUUGCCUGAGAGAGUGCGGUUUCUAUAAUUUUCAGAUGUGGCCAUGUAUGUUUCCACAAGGAUCUAUGCCCAGGCUUGAAUACAUUUCCUUCUAUGCCCGAGCAUCGCGCAUCGCCGGUGGUGACUUGGAUGUCGACAUGCAACAUCUCCCUUAUCUCCAGAAAGUUGAUGUUGCUCUGUGGUAUGAGGAAAACUGCUUGCCAGCAGUGCAGAAAGCGGUUGAUAUGUUGGCUCUCGCAUUCGACGCCCAUCCUAACCGGCCCAUCCUUCGUUGGCAGCGGACUUCUUUACCCAAAGAAGUAGUAGAAGAAGAGGAGCCUGCAGCAGGGAUGACUGUGAGCGACAGAGAAGGGGAGGCAGUUGUGUUCCAGAGUCAAUUCUAUCUAUUAACAUCUGCAGAAGUGGGUCACCAGGAGUCGAAGCCAUCAUGGAGAAGAUAGAUGUGAAACUGAAAAAUGGUGAAUACUGGAGUGCAGGCUGAGAGAGGUGCAAUUGAGAAACCCCCUUCAUGUGUUUUCAUGUUAGCCUAGUUUGUUUAGAUGGUGGUUUUCAUCUUCUCGCUGUUUCUUUUAUUGUGAUCAAUCUGCUGCUGUUGCAGAGAGCCGAUGACCUUAUGAAGCUUUCAGUAUAAUCUGAGCCUUCAGGUCUUGAUCUCCUCUAAGACACACCAAAAUUUGUGUUGUUUUACUUCUUGAGACAUGCCGACUCAUCUAGACACUCACCACUGCGGAAUUACAUAUGCCCUUAUAUAUCGACAUAAGCACGAUCCAAAAGUGGACAGUUUAUUAAA